AGUGAACGCUGGCGGUAUGCCUAACACAUGCAAGUCGAACGGCAGCACAGUAAUAUCUUGCUCUUACGGGUUGCGAGUGGCGGACGGGUGAGGAAUACAUCGUAAUCUACUUUUUCGUGGGGGAUAACGUAGGUAAACUUACUCUAAUACCGCAUACGACCUACGGUUGAAAGCAUUGGAUCUUCUGACCUUGCGCGAUUGAAUGAGCCGAUGUCGGAUUAGAUAGUGGGCGGGUUAAAUGCCCAGCAAGUCGACGAUCCGCAGCUGGUGUGAGAGGAUGAUCAGCCACACUGGAACUGAGACACGGUCAAGACGCCUACGGGACGGAGCAGUGGGGAAUGUUAGACAAUGGGCGGGAGUAUUGUCCAGUCAUAGCGAGUGGGUGAAGAAGGCGUUGGGGUUGUAAAGACCUUUUGUUGGGAAAGAAACGCAGCAGGUUAAUACGAAGCUGUUCUGACGGUAACCAAAGAAUAAGCACCGGCUAACUUCGUG
rnacentral:rRNA from 1 species